UGCAAGAUCACCAACCUUAGCAUGGACCAAUGUAUUUAAAGUUUUAGGUUUCUAAUGUAGCAUGAUAGACUUUAUGAGAAGUCAUGUUGUUUGAAGAAAGAGGACUAUAUACAGUUGACAAGGUUCUUUGCUAACCCACUGGCUGCUACCCUUGAAUCUCCCUGUUUACUUCCUUACAUGGGUCCUCUUGAUUUGAGGGUAACUCUUUCGCUACUGAUCACAUCCACUGUUGUAAACUGACAAGGGAAUGCUGCAAUUCAAGACUGAUGUAGUUGUUAGAUAAAUCACAAGUGCAUAUCUGGGCUCCCUUCUUUUCUGUGGCCCCGUUUCCCUAACUAACCACUAACCAACGCCCACCGGUGGUCACUCACCCGC